rnacentral:tRNA from 1 species
AGCCCGGUGGUGUAGCGGCCAAGCAUCAGGGACUCUGGAUCCUUGGACAGGAGUUCGAAUCUCCUCCGGGCUACCA